rnacentral:rRNA from 1 species
UGGGGAAUAUUGGACAAUGGGGGCAACCCUGAUCCAGCCAUGCCGCGUGGGUGAUGAAGGCCUUCGGGUUGUAAAGCCCUUUCGCCGGUGACGAUGAUGACGGUAACCGGAGAAGAAGCCCCGGCUAACUUCGUGCCAGCAGCCGCGGUAAUACGAAGGGGGCAAGCGUUGUUCGGAAUUACUGGGCGUAAAGGGCGCGUAGGCGGCCUGCUGCGUCGGGUGUGAAAGCCCCGGGCUCAACCUGGGAGGUGCACUUGAUACGGGCGGGCUGGAAUCCGGGAGAGGAUGGUGGAAUUCCCAGUGUAGAGGUGAAAUUCGUAGAUAUUGGGAAGAACACCGGUGGCGAAGGCGGCCAUCUGGCCCGGGAUUGACGCUGAGGCGCGAAAGCGUGGGGAGCAAACAG